UGCAAGUCGAACGCGAAAGGGGAGCAAUCCCUGAGUAGAGUGGCGAACGGGUGAGUAACACGUGGGUGACCUGCCUUCGAGUGGGGGAUAACGUCCCGAAAGGGACGCUAAUACCGCAUGACAUCCUGCCUUUGAACAGGCGGAGAUCAAAGCUGGGGAUCGCAAGACCUGGCGCUUGGAGAGGGGCCCGCGUCCGAUUAGCUAGUUGGUGGGGUAAUGGCCUACCAAGGCGACGAUCGGUAGCCGGCCUGAGAGGGCGGACGGCCACACUGGGACUGAGACACGGCCCAGACUCCUACGGGAGGCAGCAGUGGGGAAUUGUUCGCAAUGGGCGCAAGCCUGACGACGCAACGCCGCGUGGAGGAUGAAGAUUUUCGGAUCGUAAACUCCUUUCGAUCGGGACGAAUCGGUCGCGACCUAACACGUCGUGGCACUGACGGUACCGAGAGAAGAAGCCCCGGCUAACUCCGUGCCAGCAGCCGCGGUAAUACGGGGGGGGCUAGCGUUGUUCGGAAUUACUGGGCGUAAAGGGCGCGUAGGCGGCCUGCUAAGUCGGACGUGAAAUCCCUCGGCUCAACCGAGGAACUGCGUCCGAUACUGGCGGGCUUGAAUCCGG
rnacentral:rRNA from 1 species